rnacentral:rRNA from 1 species
UGGGGAGUACGGCCGCAAGGCUAAAACUCAAAGGAAUUGACGGGGGCCCGCACAAGCGGCGGAGCAUGCGGAUUAAUUCGAUGCAACGCGAAGAACCUUACCAAGGCUUGACAUAUACCGGAAACGGCCAGAGAUGGUCGCCCCGCAAGGUCGGUAUACAGGUGGUGCAUGGUUGUCGUCAGCUCGUGUCGUGAGAUGUUGGGUUAAGUCCCGCAACGAGCGCAACCCUCGUUCUAUGUUGCCAGCACGUUAUGGUGGGAACUCAUAGGAGACUGCCGGGGUCAACUCGGAGGAAGGUGGGGAUGACGUCAAAUCAUCAUGCCCCUUAUGUCUUGGGCUUCACGCAUGCUACAAUGGCCGGUACAAAGGGCUGCGAUACCGUAAGGUGGAGCGAAUCCCAAAAAGCCGGUCUCAGUUCGGAUUGAGGUCUGCAACUCGACCUCAUGAAGUCGGAGUCGCUAGUAAUCGCAGAUCAGCAACGCUGCGGUGAAUACGUUCCCGGGCCUUGUACACACCGCCCGUCAAGUCAUGAAAGUCGGUAACACCCGAAGCCAGUGGCCUAACCCCUUGUGGGAUGGAGCUGUCGAAGGUGGGAUCGGUGAUUA